rnacentral:lncRNA from 1 species
AUUAUGUUUCCGUGUCCUAAUAAAAACCAUUUUGUACUGUUUGAUAAAAAUCAUAUUGAAAUUAUCUAACUAUUUUUAAAGCUAAAACUGCAGCUUUUCAGUGAGAUAAGAUGGAGUUUAGUCUUUUAAUUUCUGUAAUAAAUGGAUCUUGCUUUUCCAUCAUAAAAACAACCAUGCUACUUUAUCACAGGGUAAGCAGAAAAGAACAAGGCCGAUAUAAUAUGUAAAUGAUGCAAAUGAUGCAUUCGUGCGAAGACCAUAUGAGUCAUGGUGCCCACAGUAGUUUGAAUAGAGACACAUAGCAAAGCAGCUGAGUCAUUACUGGGCUGACAGUAGCAGAGACUAAAGUCAGAAGAAGCAGCUCACUUAUUCAGGUUUGGCACCUGUGAUCCUCCCCAUCUUUACACCAGAGCUUGAAUCCAUUCUUCAGGCGGCCAUCCUUUUCUUAUUAUGGUCAAGUUCACAUUUGUUCAGCACAGGACCGAGUCUGCCUUCUCCUUUGAACUCCUUGCUAACCAUAAAGGCGUGCUUCAGAGAGCCAUCCUCAUUAACAUUCCAGGUCCCGCUUCCCUUUCAGCAAUAAACAAGCCCCGCAUCAAUGGCCUCCUUCCUUCCAGUUUUACAAAUGAAUGGCUCAGUUCCAUGUUUUGCUGCAGACCCAGGUGCCCAGGCAUAUAAUGCAGGACUAAGAAUCACACAGGAGGGACUAAAAAUAGAACAGCAGUUUUGGACACAUAGCAG